rnacentral:tRNA from 1 species
UGGGGUGUAGCUCAGUGGAAGAAUGCUUGCCAAGCGUGCAUGAGACACUGAGUUCAAUCCCCAGUCCUCAA